UGGGGGAUAUUGCACAAUGGGCGAAAGCCUGAUGCAGCGACGCCGCGUGGGGGAUGAAGGCCUUCGGGUUGUAAACUUCUUUUGCUCUGAACAAGGCAUGCCUUUGGGGUGUGUUGAGUGUAGGGGUUGAUUAGCGCCGGCUAACUACGUGCCAGCAGCCGCGGUAAUACCUAGGGCGCGAGCGUUGUCCGGAAUUAUUGGGCGUAAAGGGCUUGUAGGUGGCUGGUUGCGUCUGUCGUGAAAGCUCAUGGCUUAACUGUGGGUUUGCGGUGGGUACGGGCUGGCUUGAGUGCAGUAGGGGAGGCUGGAAUUCCUGGUGUAGCGGUGGAAUGCGCAGAUAUCAGGAGGAAUACCGGUGGCGAAGGCGGGUCUCUGGGCUGUUACUGACGCUGAGGAGCGAAAGCGUGGGGAGCGAACAGG
rnacentral:rRNA from 1 species